ensembl:lncRNA
ACUAAACCAGAACUAAACCAGGACUAAACCAGGACUAAACCAGGACUAAACCAGAACUAAACCAGGACUGAACCAGGACUAAACCAGGACUAAACCAGGACUAAACCAGGACUAAACCAGGUCUAAACCAGGACUAAACCAGGACUAAACCAGGACUAAACCAGGACUAAACCAGGACUGAACCAGGACUGAACCAGGACUAAACCAGGACUGAACCAGGACUAAACCAGGACUAAACCAGGACUAAACCAGGUCUAAACCAGGACUAAACCAGGAGUAAACCAGGACUAAACCAGGACUAAACCAGGACUAAACCAGGACUAAACCAGGACUAAA